CCCCUCUCAGGGUCGCACCUGGAGAGUUUCCAGUACUCUACCAGUCUCUACCAGGGAGGGAGAGUCAAGCAGAGGCCUGUCUAUUCCAUUCCUAGCUUGGGCAGUGGCUAAUGAUUAGAAGGCAAUCUGCUACAAGU